ensembl:lncRNA
GUCCGCGUUCUCCCCGCGCAACCUGCGCGUGCGCUGCGAGGGCUGCGCAGGAGGUGCUGGGGCGCGUCCCGGCCCUGCAGCGCCGGGGGCUGCGCGCAGCGGGAUCGGAUAACGUGUGCGCGUUGGGCGCCGGAGCAGGUGAAAACCAGGCUAAUAACAUAUUAUUAAAAACUGAACAUUUGAGCAGAAAAAAAAAUAUUUUAAAAUUAUACCUAUGUGUAUGUAUUAAAUAUUUGUUCCCCCUCCGCAAUCAUCGCACUUUACAGGCAGCUUCCCCCCGCCCGGCGCUGCCCCGUUACAGCGCUCCCGGGGAUCUCCCCCUCCCAAAGGCUCCGAGAAUCGCGGCGCGGAGCGUGCAGCUCCGAGUGCGCGGCGGGGCCCUGCCGCAUUCCAGCGCUCUGCUAUGGAGCUGGCUGCGCCUGCAGAGUAAGGGAACGCCGCGGGGGAGGAGAUAAUAGUUAAAAAUUGGGAAUAAAAUAAUAAGAAGGGAAUGCCUGCCAGCCUGGGCGCGCACCUUACCCCGCCACCCCGCGGAGGGGGUACACUUGUUGCCUCCCCCCUCGGCCAACAGCCAGAGUCGGGCGGGAGGGCGGCUGCGCAGCGCUGCGCUGCGCUGUGCCGCGUCGUGCGGUGCCAAACCGCGCCGUGCCGAGCCGAACCGCCGGGCGGCCCGUGGGUGCGCACGGGGUGGGCGUGCCGGGGGCACCGGCGAGGCCGGCCAUGCAGAUGGAGGGGGCGGGACGCGGACGCCGUGACUCGGAGCCCCGGAAGAGCGGAGAAACCCCGUAUAAAAACUACUGGGGACCUUUCCCGGGCAGAACUACGAAAGCUCCGGAGACGGCGGCAGGGAGCGGUGCGGCGCGGGGCGGCCUCACCGACGGCGCGGGGCGGCCUCAGCCCCGGCGGGGGGCGAGGGCAGCGGCGGCUCCGCAGGCGCGGAGGAAGGGCAGCGAGGAGCCGCAGCGGGGCCGGGCAGCCCGCGGAGGCCGCGCACCAUGGCGGACGAUGAGAAGGCCGGCGGGGGUUACGCGGGAGGCUGCGAGAGCGCGCACUGCAACGUGCUGAGCUGGGAGCAAGUGCAGCGGCUGGAUCGCAUCUUCAGCGAGACCAUCCCCAUCCACGGCCGCGGCAACUUCCCCACGCUGGCCAUGCAGCCCCGGCAGAUCGUCAAGGUGGUGCGGAGCCGGCUGGAGGAGAAGGGCAUCGGGCUGCGGGACGUGCGGCUCAACGGCUCGGCCGCCAGCCACGUCCUGCACCAGGACAGCGGCCUGGGCUACAAGGACUUGGACCUCAUCUUCUGCGCCGACCUCAAAGGGGAAGCCGAGUUUCAGACUGUGAAGGACGUGGUCUUGGACUGCCUCUUGGAUUUCUUGCCCGAGGGGGUGAAUAAGGAGAAGAUCACGCCGCUCACCCUCAAGGUAAGCCCACAGAGCUGCCCACUGAGUGCGUGGAGUGCGCAGGUGUAGCGCCCGCCACGAGCAGGGUGCGUGGGGCACCGCGUCCCUGCACACCCGACACCCAGGGGUGACAUUGCCCCGCACCUUUGGAAGCAGAGCUUGCGGGAAGGUGCCCUAGCUGGUGCUGCUCGGCUCUCCUUCCUCGGAGCCAAGUAGUUUGCCGGGAGCAUUGCUCCACCCGGCGUGCCCAGAUGCCCCGGUGGUGCGAUGCCCGCUGUGCCAAACCCGAGGUGGUGGGGGGCGAGCAGGGAGCUGCCGCUGGCUCUGCACACUUCGCAGUGUGUCUCAGUGCCCCGGCGGUGCUCCCUCGCUGCACAGACAGCCUGCUCCGGUUUAUUAGGGCUGUGAGCCAAAUGCCUUUGAGAUUUCUAGAGGAGCAGUGUGGAAGUUGCACUGAAGGAACGGGGCUGAGGACAGGGAACAUUAGCUGAGUGUUCAUUAGCUGAGUGUUUUUUUUGUUCUUGU